rnacentral:rRNA from 1 species
UUAAAUUGAGAGUUUGAUCCUGGCUCAGGAUGAACGCUGGUGGCGUGCCUAAUACAUGCAAGUCGUACGCUAGCCGCUGAAUUGAUCCUUCGGGUGAAGUGAGGCAAUGACUAGAGUGGCGAACUGGUGAGUAACACGUAAGAAACCUGCCCUUUAGUGGGGGAUAACAUUUGGAAACAGAUGCUAAUACCGCGUAACAACAAAUCACACAUGUGAUCUGUUUGAAAGGUCCUUUUGGAUCGCUAGAGGAUGGUCUUGCGGCGUAUUAGCUUGUUGGUAGGGUAG